CUACGGGAGGCUCCAGUCGAGAAUAGUCUACAAUGGACGAAAGUCUGAUAGUGCGACGCCGCGUGGAUGAAGAAGCAUUUCGGUGUGUAAAGUCCUUUUCUGUGUGAGCAAUGUUUUCCAGGUUAAUAGCUUGGAGAAAGCGAUAUUAACACAGGAAUAAGCUCCGGCUAACUCCGUGCCAGCAGCCGCGGUAACACGGGGGGAGCAAGCGUUGUCCGGAAUUACUAGGCGUAAAGGGUAAGUAGGCGGAAUUGUAAGUCAGAUGUUAAAGGCACCGGCUCAACCGGUGUAUGGCAUUUGAUACUGUAAUGCUAGAGUAAGGUGGGGGAAGACGGAAUUCCUGGUGUAGCGGUGGAAUGCGCAGAUACCAGGAGGAACACCAGAGGCGCAGGCGGUCUUCUAUACCAUUACUGACGCUCAAUUACGAAGGUGUGGGUAUCAAACAGGAUUAGAUACCCCUGUAGUC
rnacentral:rRNA from 1 species